AGGCAGCCAGUGUAUAGAUUCAGCCCCAUUUUAGCCCAGAAUCAGAAAUAGAAUCAGAAUAGGAUGUAUUGCCAAGUAAGUAGCAUUUACACAGAAUUUGCCUUGCUGUUUUGUUUUUUUUGUGCAUAC